CGUACACUCCUACGGGAGGCAGCAGUGGGGAAUAUUCGACAAUGGGCGCAAGCCUGAUCCAGCCAUGCCGCGUGAGUGAUGAAGGCCCUAGGGUUGUAAAGCUCUUUCACCGGUGAAGAUAAUGACGGUAACCGGAGAAGAAGCCCCGGCUAACUUCGUGCCAGCAGCCGCGGUAAUACGAAGGGGGCUAGCGUUGUUCGGAUUUACUGGGCGUAAAGCGCACGUAGGCGGACUAUUAAGUCAGGGGUGAAAUCCCGGGGCUCAACCCCGGAACUGCCUUUGAUACUGGUAGUCUUGAGUUCGAGAGAGGUGAGUGGAAUUCCGAGUGUAGAGGUGAAAUUCGUAGAUAUUCGGAGGAACACCAGUGGCGAAGGCGGCUCACUGGCUCGAUACUGACGCUGAGGUGCGAAAGCGUGGGGAGCAAACAGGAUUAGAUACCCUUGUAGUCCCAUGA
rnacentral:rRNA from 1 species